UACGAAGGGGGCUAGCGUUGCUCGGAAUCACUGGGCGCAAAGGGUGCGUAGGCGGGUCUUUUAAGUCAGGGGUGAAAUCCUGGAGCUCAACUCCAGAACUGCCUUUGAUACUGAAGAUCUUGAGUUCGGGAGAGGUGAGUGGAACUGCGAGUGUAGAGGUGAAAUUCGUAGAUAUUCGCAAGAACACCAGUGGCGAAGGCGGCUCACUGGCCCGAUACUGACGCUGAGGUGCGAAAGCGUGGGGAGCAAACAGG
rnacentral:rRNA from 1 species